UACGGAGGGUGCAAGCGUUGUUCGGAAUUAUUGGGCGUAAAGGGCGCGUAGGCGGUUUGUUAAGUCGGCUGUGAAAGCCCGGGGCUCAACCCCGGAGGGUCAGCCGAUACUGGCAGACUAGAGUACGGAAGAGGUAGCUGGAAUUCCCGGUGUAGCGGUGAAAUGCGUAGAUAUUGACAGGAACACCAGUGGCGUAAGCGGCUAUCUGGACCGACAUUGACGCUGAGGCACGAAAGCGUGGGGAUCAAACAGG
rnacentral:rRNA from 1 species